rnacentral:rRNA from 1 species
GGGCCGUAACUGACGCUGAGGAGCGAAAGCAUGGGGAGCGAACAGGAUUAGAUACCCUGGUAGUCCAUACCGUAAACGUUGGGAACUAGAUGUAGGGCCUGUUCCACGGGUUCUGUGUCGUAGCUAACGCAUUAAGUUCCCCGCCUGGGGAGUACGGCCGCAAGGCUAAAACUCAAAGGAAUUGACGGGGGCCCGCACAAGCGGCGGAGCAUGCGGAUUAAUUCGAUGCAACGCGAAGAACCUUACCAAGGCUUGACAUAUAGAAGAACGGGCGAGAGAUCGUCAACUCUUUGGACACUUUUAUACAGGUGGUGCAUGGUUGUCGUCAGCUCGUGUCGUGAGAUGUUCGGUUAAGUCCGGCAACGAGCGCAACCCUCGUCCUAUGUUGCCAGCACGUAAUGGUGGGAACUCAUGGGAUGCUGCCGUGGUCAACACGGAGGAAGGUGGGGAUGACGUCAAAUCAUCAUGCCCCUUAUGUCCAUGGGCCUCACGCAGGCUACAAUGGCCGAUACAAAGGGCUGCGAUACUCGCGAGGAGGAGCGAAUCCCAAAAAGUCAGUAUCAGUUCGGAUCGGGGUCUGCAACUCGACCCCAUGAAGUCGGAGUCGCUAGUAAUCGCAGAUCAGCAACGCUGCGGUGAAUACGUUACCGGGCCUCGUACAUCACCGUCC